rnacentral:rRNA from 1 species
UACGGGGGGGGCAAGCGUUGUUCGGAAUUACUGGGCGUAAAGGGUUCGUAGGUGGCCAACUAAGCCAGACGUGAAAUCCCUCAGCUUAACUGGGGAACUGCGUCUGGGACUGGAUGGCUUGAAUCCGGGAGAGGGAUGCAGAAUUCCAGGUGUAGCGGUGAAAUGCGUAGAUAUCUGGAGGAAUACCGGUGGCGAAGGCGGCAUCCUGGACCGGCAUUGACGCUGAGGAGCGAAAGCCAGGGGAGCAAACGGG